rnacentral:rRNA from 1 species
CAGUAGCCGCGGGAAUACGAAGGGGGCUAGCGUCGCUCGGAAUUACUGGGCGUAAAGGGCGCGUAGGCGGAUGUUUAAGUCAGAGGUGAAAGCCCAGGGCUCAACCUUGGAACUGCCUUUGAUACUGGACAUCUUGAGUAUGGGAGAGGUGAGUGGAACUCCGAGUGUAGAGGUGAAAUUCGUAGAUAUUCGGAAGAACACCAGUGGCGAAGGCGACUCUCUGGUCUGUAACUGACGCUGAGGAGCGAAAGCGUGGGGAGCGAACAGGAUUAGAUACCCCAGUAGUCCCUGUCUCUUAUAA